GUAGGGAAUAUUGGGCAAUGGAGGCAACUCUGACCCAGCCAUGCCGCGUGCAGGAAGACGGUCCUCUGGAUUGUAAACUGCUUUUGAAUGGGAAGAAACGCACUUUUGCGAAAGUGUUUGACGGUACUAUUAGAAUAAGCACCGGCUAACUCCGUGCCAGCAGCCGCGGUAAUACGGAGGGUGCAAGCGUUAUCCGGAUUUAUUGGGUUUAAAGGGUGCGUAGGCGGCUUAAUAAGUCUGGGGUUAAAGGCGGCAGCUUAACUGUACGCAUGCCCUGGAAACUGUUGAGCUUGAGUGACCUGGAGGUAGCUGGAAUUCCCUGUGUAGCGGUGAAAUGCAUAGAUACGGGGAGGAAUACCGAUUGCGAAGGCAUGUUACUACGAGUAAACUGACGCUGAUGCACGAAAGCGUGGGGAUCAAACAGGAUUAGAAACCCGAGUAGUCC
rnacentral:rRNA from 1 species